GGCGAUGUGACCGAGUGGUAGGUCGGAGCUUGCAAAGCUUCGUACGGAGGUUCGAAUCCUCCCAUCGCCU
rnacentral:tRNA from 1 species